CCCCCCCCCCCCCCCCACACACACCCACCAGCCAGCGGGGCCUGACCCUGAGCCCACGUCCCCAGGGAGGCGAGGAUGUGCUCGGGGAUGCGCAGAGCCGGGCCCUGGCGGGGCUGUCCCGGGCUCCCCCCGGGCAGGUCGGUGCCCUGCAGCGGCGGGCGCCGCGGGGGCCGUGCCCGGGCGGUGAGGAGGGGGGUCCCACGCUGCCCGGCUGCAGCGCGGCCCCUCGGCCGGCACAAGGAGAGAGUUGCAAAGUUGGAGCUUCCCAGCCAGAAAGUUUGGGCCUCAGUGCGCAUGCCCGGCGGCCGGGGGGAGGUGGGGGGUUGAAAUAAGGAGGAGGCUGGAGGCCGGGGAGCGGUGCAGUCCGAGCCCGGCUUCUCCGGGGCGCGCCCGCCGCCCGCCGCCUCCAUCCCCGCUGCACCUGGCACCUGGCUCUGCGGAUCUGUGCGUGCCCGGCCAGGGCCACUCACUUAGCCCCACUUUUCCCCAGUCUCCGAUUUAGCCCGGGAUCUUUUACCAGCCGCCAGCGGUGGAGCACGGAUCGGGACUAGGGGCGAUUACUCAGAUGAAAGGUUCCCACGCUGGCUGAGCCAUCCUUUCUUAUCAUCGCUGGUUGGGACCCCUGAAAAAAAAGGUGAGUUUUGCUGGGAUGCAGUUGUUCAGUUUCCAGUGACGCUUUCAAAUCCUUAUGGUGCGCUGUAAAUGCUGGGAGUCCAACCGUGGGCAUCAAAUCACAGAGAUGAAAUUAUGCCAUUCAGCAGAGAUAAGUAGGACUAACGUCCAACAAUGGGUAAAGAAAAAUUAACUUGGGGAUGAAUAUUUUUGCAUUAUUACCAUGCGUACUUUAAAUGAUGACUUACCUCUGUCUUUUUAUUUUUACUCUUUCAAAUCAAAGCUCAGUAUCAAAUAUUUUCACAGUUGCUUUAGUUUUCAGUUUGCACCAGAAAUAUAUCCUUGAGUGGGAGUUUUGUCUGUGAGAGGACUACAGCAUCUGGCUCCGGUUGUCUCCUGAUAUAAGAUUUACAAGGGAAAUGAAGUUUUUACCAUUUCCAGUUACAGACUGAAAUGUAAAGAUGUCUUGGCACACUUACUCUUUUGCAUUCCAUUAAUUUUUUUCCUGCUCAUAAAACAUUGUUACACUGUUAUUGGCCUGAGUGAGGGCUGCAGAAUCAUGCUUGAGUACUCUCCCAUACACGAGGAAGGCCUGUGGGUUUAUACUCCUGCUUUUAAGCCAAGCAGAGCGAAAGUUUCCUUGAGAAUCUUACAAGGGCAAUAGGCACUUGCUCGGCUAUAUCGGGGUUAAGUUUGGCUCCACAGAUAGUAGAAAAAUGACAUGGCUGUGGACCAGGCUGGUGAGCAGAGUGUGGAAACAAGUAUUUUAUAGCUGUGCACGUUGAAGCAGCAUGGUGUAAAGGCAUUGAUGUGUAGCAGUCUCCUCUGCCCUGCUGUGUGACAUCAAGCAAACCACUUGCCUUACUAGCCUUGGUUUUCUCUGUAAAAUAGGGAUAGUAAUACCUCCUUUCCAGGGAUACUUUGAAGCUUAAGUCAUUUAUGCAUGUAACAUGCUGUACAUUAUCAAAGCUGCAUGCAAUGAAGUGUUCUAGUGUUCUACAGAAAUGGGAGGAGUGACUGCAAAUUCUUACCUGCACAGCUGAGAGUAACAUCUGGUCCUGUAGAUGUAACCGAGUAGGGAAGUUUAUAGUUCUGUGUAAUUUUUUUUUCAGCCUUGGCAGAUUUGCUGAGAGCCUGAGUUGUAAUGCCCUGCAUGCAUUUCUGCAUGACAUUCUUAUCUAGUGACUAAACAGAAUAAACAAUGUGGGCCAUGUUCAUCCCUGGUGUAAUUUCAGUUGUAUAAGUCAUCUUUAUAGGAGUUUUUUUUUAACGAUGUUGAUUUUUGGCUUAUCUGAAGGCUGAAUUUUGCCACUUAUGCAUUUGCAACGUGCUUUUUCCUUCUGGUAAAACAGAGGUGGCUGACCUUGCCCUUCAUCUAACAUACUUUUGAGGAGGGUUAUAGAAGGAUGAACCAUUACUCUCUUUUCCAUAUUCAGGUCAACCUUCUUAACUUGCAUAGCAGCUGGAGUGGGCUUGGUAUUCUACUAAACUCAGACAAGACAUUGAGUGACAAUUUCAAAAGUUCUUACAUCCUUUUGACUUCCACAGAGAGAUGGGCUACUAAGUGACUUUUAGAAACCGCUAAUAAUUUUACCUACUGUCUUUGUUUAAUGGAUUUACAGUCUAAGCUUAGACAUAGCAGCACAAAUGACUGCAGACAAAGAAAGGCUGUAGGGGAGAGAGAAAAAGGACAGUAAUUAAGGUAACAGUGUGAUUGAUCAUAUAUAAAAAGCAAAAGGGACCUCUAUAAUUUAUGUUAUCUAACAUUUCCUGACAUCCUACAUAACAUAGGCAGCCAUAUAAUUUUAUCCAGUACAGUAAUUUGUGAGAUGGAGGAUGUACCCAACUAGGGAAGUGAACACUAUUGAACCAUAGAACUUGUGCUUGAACUAGAGCAAGUCUUUUGGAAAGGUAUCUAUUUGUGAUUAAAAGAUAUAAGCAUCAUUUCCUUGGCAAAUGUUCCAGUGAUGAAUUACCCUUUCUGAUAAGAUACUGUGCCUGUUUCCAAUUUUAUUUUUUCUAACUUCAACAUCUAGCCAUUCCUAAGCAUGUUUGUCUCUGACUAAAUAGCUCCUCAGUUACUUUUCUUUGCACUUUCCAAAUACUUAAUUGUGUAGUGGUUUCAGAAUCAAAUUUAAACAUGGAAGUAAACAUGGGAAAGGUCAUGAAAGAAUAACCAAGAAGGCAAGCACAUGGAAAAGAUCUAAAAUUUGAAGUUAAAUUAUAUUCCUAACUCUGACUUGAAAAACACCAUGUAAUGAUUUGGAAACAAAAUGGUGUUUUUCAUUUAUUGAUAAUUUAAAGUAUUGAUAAAGAUUAAUGCUGUAUUGAUAAAGAUUAAUGAUGUGUUUUUAAUGUUGCUCCUUAAAUCUGAAGUUUGAAAUAGUCUUUUAUUAUUUUGACUGCCCCAGUUUGACUGGACCACAGUGUUACACCCGACUUCCAGCACUGUUAGUACUACUUUUAUGGCUGCUGUUAUGCCUCCCCGGUUCUUGCUUCUAAAACAAAGAAAAAAAAAACUCUGACAUUUUCUCAGUCCUACUGACCAUCCAAAAUGGCCUUUGUUACUACCAAAGUCACACAAAUGUCUGUUUCUAUUCUGUAUGCAUUCAUUUAUUUUUUUUUUUAUAAAUGAAAAGGUCAAAUUUAUCGGUGGCGUUCACAAUAACACGUAAACCUGAGUAAGUGCAAACAGUGGCCUGGACAUGCCAUCAGUUAGUAACUAGACUUGUCAUUCUAAUUACUAUCUUUCAUGGGAAAGCUCAUGUUCCUCCUUUUGGAUUUCAACUUGCUCAUGCCACAUCCAUCCUUUUGGAUUUCAACUUCCUCCAUCCCAUACCAGCUUUUGUGGGAGCAUCUCUCACUUUAGAUUUCUCAUGUUUUUUGGUAUUCAUGUGCAAUUAUGAAAACUGGGACCACCAUUCACUGCAAACUGUGGACUGGUUUCGUUCACUAACCAGCAUAUGGAGUUAUUGUUGGUUUAUGGUAGGACUGAUGAAAGCAGUUAGGCCUAUUCCUAUGCAGGUUAGAGCAACAUGUUUCCUGUGGUUAAAAACUUCUUGUGCUAGUAUAAUUUUGUAUCUUUUUAUAUCUUCACUUUUCUGCCCUGCCCUGGGUCCUAUCACUGCUAUUGCCUGCAUAUCAUAGACAAUACAGUGAAGAAACAACUGAACCCAACACUUUAGUGGAACUCUAUGCCAGUUUGGACCAAAAAUCAGGCCCUUCGUAUUCCCUCCUUCCUUUGAUCCUUCAUAUUUCACAGAAAUAUGAAAUUCUUUUCUUUCAUCAAACCUUGUCACUUUUUCCCAUCUGAAACCUGACCUUUCUGCUCCUUACCGACUGCUCAAACCAUUGUUGUUGCCUUAGCCACUUCGCACCUUAAUUAGUACAACUCCUGCUUCUGUGGACCUCCCUCCUUCUCACCUGAUUCUAAUUAAUUAAUCUUAUUGCUGUUACUAUUUUAACUUUUUCCAUCACUGCACUACUCUUGUCAGCUCAGCACCCAGGAUGUUCCGUGGCUUCCUCUUGCCCCUGUAACAAGUUGAAACCUCUCGUUCUUAACUGUGAGACUACACAAGUCUGUUCCAUCUUACAAGUUUGUGCUUUUGACCCCAUCACUCCUUCUGUACUUCCUUCCAGAAUUUCCCUUUUUAUCCUUUUCUGUUUCUCAUCUUGGUUCUUUAACCCAAGUUGUCUUUGAUACUGGAAACAGAGGUGCUCAAAUGAUAUGGUGUAAGUAGUUUAUGUCAGUUGAAUUUUUAUUUCCAUUCUCAAACUGUCCAAACAGAUCAUAGUAACUUUUAUUCUAUAAAUAAUGUCAGUAAUUUUCAGCCUCUAGCUUGUUCCUAAACUCUAUGAUGUGCAUUAAGAUAUGCAAUAGUCUGGAUUAAUGAGGUGUCAAAUUUCCCCAUACCUACCAGCCUACCACAGGACCUGUACACUCUUUAGCUCUUAAUUAGGACUUCUGGGCAAGAAAGAACAAACAUUUGUUCCCUCCUAGGAUGUGAAUGUUUUAACCAGACUUUGGCCAGGGAAGGAGUACAGGGUCUGUUUACCACACACUGCAUGCAUCUACACAUGCACUUUACUGCUCAGUUGACUAAUUAACUCUGCAGUAAAGCAUCACCGUCUAUACAUGUGCCUGUAUUAGGGUGCAGUAAACUAAUUAAUUCUGCUGCUGGAUAGUACUGUCAGGGAAAAGUAGCAUCCUAUGGUGGAGGAGUUACGUGUGCCAAAAGCCCCACGGAGAUGGUGACUGGGGCACAAGGGUGUUAUAGUUUGGGGUCUGCCUGCUGGCUAGCCCUGCAUGAUAAUACGCUUGUGCCCCAGUCAGUUUUUCCACAGCACGUUGAGCCAGAACAGAGCAGCCCCAGGCUGAAAGACUGGCCUCCUGCACUCCUGCUGGCCAGGGCUGCUCUGCCCAGGCUAGUUGUGCUGUGGUCCUGGGCACACACAUAAACAUGGUGCCCAAGAGCAAUAAAUUCUGGUAUGAACUAUGCUGGAGUUUAUUGCUAUAUCCUAAUUGCACUUGUAGAUAUACCCACUGUGUGUGUAACUUGGAAGGAAUAGGUAGUGCUGUUGUUCCUUCCUCGCAUACCCACCAGGGAAGCAGUUCAGAUGGGUGGUACAAGCAGAGACUAGGCCACGCACCAUAAAGGCUGAAGUGGAACUUAGUGGUCCUGUUCUCCAGUCCAGUAAUUGGAUCAACCCCUGGCCACAAUCUCCUUUACACUUUUCCCUCAGGCCACAGUUUAUUAAUUUAAGCAAAAAAUACUGUAAAUACAGGAUCGUACAACAAAGUUAUUCUCAGAGCUGGUAUAGAUUGCAAGGGUCCAUGGGCAUUUCUCUCUGUGUUCUAGGGAAAGUCUCAAACCUUUUCCUCCUGCAGAAAAUUUCUCUGAGCCCUUCACAAGUUUCCUGACCCAUAUCUAUAUACUCCCUUCUUGCUUGGGUUUCAUAGUUAAAGGGUCAGACCACUCUUUUACCAGGCUUCUGUGAGGGCUUUCUGCACAGGGGUUGGGUUUCCUCCUAAUCAAGGUGGGUGACUUGAUGCCUAAAGUAAGUGUUAUUGUUUCUGUUUUGUGACUGUAUAUGCUGAGCUUUAUGAGCAACUUCCUUUUGCAUUCAGUAUGAAUUUUGUUCCUUCGCAAAACACAUUUUGUUAUAUGAUUACAUAAAUCUUGGCUGUGAGCCCUAAAAUUGUUUUCCACAAACAUUCGCACACAUAAAACUUGGCUCAUGUGAAUCAUCGUGAAAAGAAAAUGAGAGAGAGCGAUUAUGUGUGGUGGGAUAAAAAUACGAUCCAGACUUCACACAUCUUCAAGAACAUUCACCCCUUGCUUUCACUGGAGCUGUCUCUCGCUUCUCCUGUAUCUACUUUAGAUUUCUCCUUAACAUAUUUCUUUUGAGCAGUCUUCUUCUCACAGUCUCUUCAGCUGUUUGCCAUCACUUUGAGCUUGCACCACCCAUCAAGUGGUGCAAAUACUGGCUGUUGGCCUUCUGCCAAAUUGAGACUAUCGCGGUUAAGGGGAAAGGAUUUUCAUAUACAGCCUUGAGGACCCAGUUGGCUGGGCUCAGGAACCAAUAAAUAAUUAAAAAGCUGUACAUUUGAUAAUUCCUGAAUUCAAGUGACUCAGCCAAACAUCCAUGACUGAUAUCUGCUUUAGCACAGGCACAUGUCCAGCCAAAGGAAUGGUUUUCCCCUUCUGUAUUUGUAUGGUGAUGACUUAGAUAUGAUUUAGGAAACAGGUAGUGCUUCCCCAGCAUUUGGGAAAUGUUUACGUUCACCUGUUUAUUUCCCUCAGUGGGUUAAUAAGACUAUUUCAAAUUGCUACAAGGAAAAUUUAAUUUUUCAAAAUGGGGAAGGAAAUAGCUUCAGUAAUGAAUCAGUCAUAGGCUUUUUUCAUUACGAAAAUUGAGAGGAAGGCAUUCCCAAUGAGCUGUUGGGUAUUUCCUCUAUUUUAAAACUUUAAAUGAGCAUGUGAAAACAUUGGCAUAAUUGUACUGUAUUAUGUUUAAAACUGAGCAAAGGCAAGAAUGGAGUCGUUAAUAUUCCUCACCAUAAUCAUCAUUGGCUGCCACUGCUGCUGGAGCCAGCCUUGCUACCUGGGCACCCCAGUCUGUGUGCCCUGCACCCACCACGGGGCAGGACUCACACAGCCAGGGUGUAUCAGAUGGGGCCACAGGCAGCUAGGGAGUGAUGUUUGGGAACAGGAUGGAUGGGCACAGCCACAAUCCCAGGGCAGGAUCAUGGGGCAGUGACAGUGCAGGGCUAGGGUCCAAGGCAGAGCCUUGAUCCACUGCCUGCAUGUCCCUGCAAUGGUCCUUGGUUCCACGGGCAGGGGGUAUGGGGAACAAAUCUCAGCUCCAUCCAAGGCCCCAGCCCUGUGCUGUCACUGCCCCACGAUCUUGAUUACAGCCCUGGACCCUCCUGUCCACCCUGCUCCUGGAUGCCACUCCCCAUCUGCCUGUGGCCUCCAUCCCAUCUGCUCAGCUGUGCAGGUCCCAGCCAGUCUCCACGGAGACCCUGGGAUCGCUGGGCACUGAUAGCAUGGGGCUGGCGCCUGGAGCAGAGCUGUAAUCUGCUCCCCCCAUGCUCCUGCCUGUGGAACCAGUGCCCAUCACAGGGGCAUGUGGGGAUUCGAUCACAGCUCUGCCCAAGGCCCUGGCCCUGGCCCUGGCCCUGUACUGUCAUGGCCCUGUGAUCCCAGCCCUGCCUGCUCACCUUGCUCCUGGAUGCUGCUCCCUGCCCACGGCCCCAUCCCAGCCACGGGGCUGAGUGCAAACCACUUAGAAAGUUUGGGAGAGCUGUUGCAGGGGGGUGGUGGGUGCUAACCUAGCAUGGCAGGAUGGGUGGUGGUGACCUGGCCUGUGACAGCUCACCAGAACUCCCUAAGUGGCCCUCCAGCCCAAAUAAAUGCACACCCCUGCUCUAAGAUGUCAAAAGCCUUCCUAUAUUACUAGGAUUUACUAGGCAGGUUGCCCAUGCUGGAGGCCUUGCCAAAGGAGGAAGAGGAACCUGUUUAAAAGUAGAUCAGAAGGACAGGACUCCCUUUUGUGUUGGUAGUUGUCACAGAACUUGAUGGCAUGUAGCAUAAUGGUCUUGCCUUUUGUCAACAGGAUGCUGGAUAGGAAGCACUGGUGGAUAAGAGAACAAAUAUAUCUGGAUGAGUUCCUGUCCAUACACAAGCCUAGAGCAAGGCAAACAAAGGUGUUGAAUGUGUGUUUGUGAAGUGUGUGGCUGUUAAAGACAGAUCUAUGCCACAAUCUUUAAGAAACAAGAACCAAAACAGGGAUGGUGGAGCCCAAAUAUCUAAAUAUGGAUUAACAUUCUGGGUAUCCAAAGCUGAGUUUCUAAAUCCAGAUUUAGGCACCAAAAUACAAGUGUCAUGAUUUUCAGUGUCACUGACCAUUUAGGAAUCCCACUGAAAUCCUUGAGAGCUGCAAGCAUUUAGUACCUUUGAAAACUAGGCCACAAUGACGGACGCCUAAAUUCAGGAACCUAAGAUUGAUAAUUGACUUUACUGGAACUACCCAGUCUAUAAAUCAAUGUUGCAUUUAGUCCUGUGUCUGCAGAUCUCCAGAUGGAGAGGAAAGUGACCUGUAGGUGGAUUCAACAGUUCUGAUCUGCCUCAGGUCAAACAUCUGUAGGAAACGUGUGUUUGAUUUCCUAGUAACUUCAUAGUUUCAGUGGAUGGUAUAUUUAGUUCAGUGUUAUAUCUGCUACUGAAGUUACUGAAUGCAAAUACCAGCAGCCUCUGGGAAAUUUUAGUUAAUCUGAAAAUAAUCUAAAACAAAUUCACCCAGUUAGCCAGCCAGGAAAAAGGGAAAAGAAAAAGAGUAACAGAUCCAACCAAGUAGGCACAAAAAUGAAACCCCUCUAGGAUUUUCUCUUUAGAUACUCCAGCUUCCAUUAUUUUAAUGAGCAAAUUAGGUCAUAAGCAAAGUCUGGUUAAAGAUAAAUAAAUGCCAUAGUUUCUCAUUAAAUAUUAAAAUAGCGAGACAUUCCAUUUCAUUUUCUGCUUAGCUGAGUGUUAUGGCAUAAUAUUUCUAGGGCUUGAGUUCCAAUUCAGCCGCCCGACGUAGCAAUCCAUAAAACAACAAAGCCUAAACACAGACAAGGGGAGACAUACUUUUGCAGCAGUUGAGUUAGCACUUUUUGGAAGCAGGAUAAAAUUUCUCAUCUAAGUCACGUCUUUCAUUUUCUACACUACAGUUUUCAUUAGUAUAGCUUGCUGGACACCAGUGUUAGAAUUCAAAUAGGGAAGAAUGUAAAGACUAUCUUAUCUCUCCAUUAUUAAAUACUAAUGCAGCCUACAGCGAUGGUCUAGGAUUCUGCAGUAACUCAGCUACAUAUAAAAUGGAUCGUUAUAAUCCAAGGAAUGAUUUACAAAUAUUUUGCAAAUGGUUGCUGCUUUGCUGUUAUUUUUGGAUGUUAUAAUAUUUGCCAACAGUGCACAUCAGACAGUGCCAAUUUAUUAUUGAAAAUCUUCAUGAACUGUUAAAAGAUUAGGGACUUUAGUACACUUAGUUUUUGGAAGAUGCACAUGCAAGUCCAUUGCACUUAGGAGUCCCUUGCUUCCUACUUGCCUUUUGUUCAGUAGGCUUCUAUUGAAAACGUAUUAGAUACCCAGGCCCCAAUUAAUGAAAUCAUUUAAGCGUGUGCUUAAUCCCCAUAGGCUUAACAUUUACAAUAUGUGUAUAUGCUCCCAUUGCCCAUUUCCUCCCCCUCCCCCUUCACCCCCCCCCCCCCCCCCCCGAACAGAGGUAUAUUUUUGAACCAGCGCCAAAAGUAUGUACCGGAAAAAAAAUCUUGUGAUUCAGGUGACCAAUUAAAAUAGAUAGAAGCAGUUUGCAAACAACUCACAGAUGGACAUUUACUUGCAUGAGCUAUUUGCUAAAUAUUUAGAUACAUGAAAUAAGUCAGGAGCAACAUAUGAAAGCAAAAAUACUACUUUUAUAUGGCAACUUAUUUUCUGUUAAAAAUUUACUCUGGAGUGCAUGUAAAAUCCUGCAGAAAGUCUUAAGUAGAGGGAGAACUUAUAUUGAAUUUAUAAACUAGCUCAGUGUGGCACUGAUAAAAAUUAAUGUUUUAUUUUGCUCUUUAAAAUUUGUUUCUUACUCUUUGUCCCUGCCAGACGGUGAUAAUCGUAAUGUCCUUGCAUUAUCUAGUUGGACUUUACAGGAGUACCAUGCAGCUUUGCUGUGGGCUUUUGCUUCUGAACAGACUUCUACAGAAUCAAAUAGGAAUGCUCAAGUGUCCUUUAGAUGCCAGUGAAACAAGGGAAAAAAAGAGGAAGAAAAAGUCUGCACAACAGGGUUGAAUUUGGACAUGAUGAAAUAUUACAUAACUGUGGUUCUAAAAAAUUAUGGAGUUAGUUGAACUCCAAAAUGUUUAGUUUCUUCUAUGCAAGCAUGUAAGCACUUGCAUAACCAAGCUGCUUCUUGGACUUCUAUAGGACCGCUCAGACAUAGAAAGUUGCACAUGUGCUUAAACACCUAGCUAGUGCAGGGCCAUCGCUUCACAAAAGUUCUUUCCAAGCUGGUAUGUUAUUACUAUCAGGUUGUCCUACUGUAUCAUGAGCCACAACAUUUGUCUGAUUUGCAGGUAUUUGAGAAAGAGAAUAGUUCCAUCAACUGCUGGCAGAAUUGGGUGGAGGAAUUCAUCCUCCUCCGUUCUUGUUGAAGCUUGCAUGGGACAAUGGGGGAGUUGCUAGCAGCAGAGUGUAAAGGAGAUACGGUUGGGAGGCAAAGGGAAAAUGCUGAAAGAGUCCAGAAUAGAUAUGCAAGUAGUUGCUUGCACUAAAGACUUGCACUAAAGACUUGUCCAGAGUCUCUGAGAAUCUCUUUUUGUCUUUCAUGGGAAAGAUGAGCCAGUCCCUUAGCUUCCUGGCUGAAGGACUUUUCUUUUCUGGCUAUAUAUUGUUUCAUUAAAUAUCCAAUAAAAAUAAAUGGCAGCUGGGGAUGUAGGCUGCAUGGGUACUUCUUCAGCUCAGUCUGGAAUCAGAACUCAGAGCUUACCAAAUAAUUACACACACAAAAAGUCUUCAAAAUAUAUAAAAUAGUCAAAUAAAUGAAUAUGGAAAUAUUAUUUAAAAGUAUUAAAUAUUUCAUAUUGUCAAAAGGAUUUUAACUGAAGCAAUUGUUUGUGUGGAGAUUCUGAAUAUCUAGGAUUUGCUUUGCAGGCUGGCACUGGUUAGAUAGGCAUAGUUCAGUUUCCUGAUUAGAUAUGUGAGUUGCAUCGAGGCUUAUCAAACAGGAGUACAGUACUUUUUUGUGGAAAUUUUAACUCUGGGUUCCAUGACUGCUCACACAUGUGACCUUGGAAUAUAGUCUUUGUGAACAGUUGUGCCAAUGAAAUUCAUGGAAAGUAUGGCUCAAACACAUUCGUUAAAUAAGUCAAAAGGAUAUUUAUGUAUUCUCUUCUUUUUUUUAAAUUUUGCGCUAUUUUCCCAGCCCUAACAGACAGAUGGAUGCUCUGGUAAUAUACAGUGCAGAAACAUCCAAAGAUAAGAUGACAUAAAUAAAACAAUUACAAUUUAAUUCCUUCUUACAGACAGUGUGUGGGUGGUGGCGUAUUCUCUUCUCCUAUUUCAACUUGGCCAGAUUCAAGCUGGAUACAAGUACAGCUCUCAUCUUCUCCUUAUUCUUGUGAAACUGGGGACUGGAGUGCCAACAGGCCUUUUGGCAGCGGAGAUUGCAGCGUUUGGAACUAAUCUGCCUAUGACCAGACAGAACAAAGAGAGAGUUAAUCAGUGUACUCGUGGGCUAGCUAGCCUAAAAUUGUGCUGGUGACAGAUGGCUGCAUGAGACCAGUUUUUUUUGUUUUGUUUUUUUUAAACAAAGGCAAACCCUUCACACCAGAUGUAAAACAGUCACUACUGCAUGAGGAUCAAACAAAUGCUGGAAAGAGUAUUGCCACCCUCCUUCCCCCUGCCCCUCAAAAAAAUGUCUUCAUCAUGCUAAAGGAUUUAAAUUCCACUUUGAAUACUGAAGUUUUUUAUCUUUGGUUCCCCAGCUUGCUGUCUUCUCUAAUGAGUGAUUUAAAGAUAAGAGACAAAAUAGUGGAAGGAACUGUCAGGAGCAGAAUUAUAUAUUUGAGUCCUAAUUAGUUUCUUGUUUUAUUUUUAAAUGUUUUCUGUGUUCGUGAGUAACCCAUUGGGCAGUGUGUCUAACAUUUCCUGUCCUCUGCCCUCAACCUACAGAGAAUGAUAGUCCAUUAUGACCUCCUGUGGUGGAGUCUGUCACCUUGGCUCAAAUUGUAGAGAUGCACACUUCAUUCUGGAGUUCCCUGUUGUAAUUUUUCAGGCCUGGCAAGAAGGUGGCAAUUUGUGGCUUCAGGGAUGACACUGACUACUGAAACAGUGCGUGCUCAGCAUGGAGGGAGAGGCCUGGACUGUUUGGCUGGAAUUCUGUUACACCUUGUACACAUAAAUGGUACUUCUCCAGGCAAGUAAGCGUGGUUUGUUUCCUUUUAGCAUUUAUGCAUAGUUUGUGAUUCUGUUGCUUGUGCAGUGUGGACACAGACAUGUACAGCAAGGAUGUUGGGUGUAUUUAUAUUUAUAGAAGUGCGUAAUUGCUGCAUAUAUAAUUGCUUAUGAGACUCAUUGUAGUGUGUGAGAAACAUACAUGGAAUUUAUGGGCAUUAUAUUACUAAUAUGCCUGUAGAAAGCCUAUAUUUCAUAGGAAGAUCCUGGGUCAACUAGCUUCAUUCUAGAAAAACUACUGGAAGAAGAGGACCGAGGAGGACCUGCAAGCAUUCCAUUAGGCUGUAAGGCUGUUUCCGUGUGGUGUGAGUGGAAGACGGCUGCAGGGUAGGCGGGUAGGUACCCCUGCUAAGCAUAGAACUGAUUGGGUACAAACCACAAAUGUGACUCACGGAUGCACUAUUUUGCCAAAGGGUAAUAGUUAUAAACCCUCUAGCAGUUGUUAGAGAACCAAAGACUAUUUGGAAAGGUGAACACUUGCUGAGCUUCAGGAGCUCUUCUCAUUGGCACUGCUGCUCAGAUUCACUCGCAUCCAAGGAGCUAUCUCCACUGUCUAGGCAGUGCCGGCCCAUGAUUUUUUGAAUAUAGUUUUGGGGCCCCCUGAUUCAUCAAAAAAUCAAAAUUGUGGUUAUUUGCAGCAUAAACUCAGUAAAAUAUAAUAGUCAGGGCUGGGUUGCGCACAUGUGAGCUGUGCUGCGGGGGAUGCGGGAUGGGGGCAGCACGUCCUGGGGACACCCAGGUUCCCUCCCUGGGGCUGGGGCGGGAGUAGAGCCAGAAACUCCUCCCCCAUUCAUCUGGGAAGGGGCUCCCUGCCUGCAUCGAGCCCCUUCAAGAUGGUGCAGGUGGUAGGGGGUGAGCAGGGCAUAGCCCCUUGGCUGCGGGGCCCCUGCGGCUGUAGGUUCCUCAGGAUAGCAUGGGUUGGCUCUGUGUCUAGACUACUGCUUCAUGAACCCUGGGGACUAGAAAAGCCAGAGUAUGACUCCUCUCCUUUGCUUGUGUACUUUGCUAUCUGGCUUUGUUAGUAGCGUUACAUGGAUUACUCUUUCAUCCUCUCUACUGCAGAGCUAGACUGCAGAGCUCCUGCCAUAAAGAAGGACAGAUUGUCAAAGACCUUCUUGGUUGCUCAUUUUGCAAGCUGGGUUGCUCCAGUCUUCUAGAACUGAGAUAAAAAUUGUUUGAAUGACCCUGGUCUUUUGGCAUCCUACCAAAGGUGACGCACUGAUUUGUUCUUCUCAACACUUACUUUAUUCCAAAGUCCUGGGGUCCUGUGCAGUAGAGUCACCUGAAAGGCGUUCACUGGCGCUACUGCACAGUAACUCGAGUUACUGCACGUUUAUUUAGCGCUUGCUAAUACAAGUGCUAAAUAAAUGCUCAGUAAUGACUGCACAGUAGCAUCUUGUGUAGAUGUGCCCAGUGACUGCUUAUCUUGAAACUAAUCAGAAAGCCAGUGUAUUCCCCAUAGCCAGUGUCCUCGCAAUUCUCCCCUAUUGCUAGGAAGUUUUAGAUCAGGGGUGUCCAACCUUUUUGAAUGUGGGGCCAGAUCACAAACUUUUUAUUACCCAGUGGGCUGGUGAGCCAUAUUCAAAGACCUCACAGGAAGUGGUAUCACAUCAGGAAGUGAUGUUACGUGACCUUUGACACCAAUGAAGUUGCAGGAAGUGACAAUGAAAUGAGUCUGGAAAUGUGAUUUAAAAUCCCAAAUAAAAACAAUAUAAAAGCAAGAAUGAAAUAAUACCAAACACUUGACUAAAACAAUCACUUUUGCUUCUACUCACUUCUCAAUGAAUGAAAGAAGCAUAAUAAAAGUUGACAGAUCAAAUGUGGAAAAGAUAUCAGCCAGAGUAGAAACUAAUCAAAGCAACAAAAUAUGGGCAUUUUUGAGAAUAAUCUAGACUAUUUAUAUGUAGGGUGACCAUAUAUCCUGGAUUGGCUGAGACAGUCCCAGAUUUUAUAGGCUGUCUCAGUGUCCCAGCCACUGGAGAAAAUUUAAGCAGAAGUACCAGACUGGUGGGAAUCUGAGAGCUGGGGGGUUGGGGCUGUGUGUGCGUGUGUGUGUGUGUGCAUGCAUGUGCAUGUGUGUAUGCUUCCAAGCACACGUGUGUUGCAGCAGACAGAGCCAAAGCAGCUAAUGGGAUGUGCUGGGAAGCAUGGUACUUUUGUCACUGGAGCAAGGGCUGUGGGCUGGGGUGGGGACUGGGGUGCUGGCCAGGCUGGGGAUGCUGCAUGUGCUCUGUCUGUCCUGCUCUGACUCAUGGCUCUGGCCCCAUUCUGGCACCUGCUGCUGCAUCCUGGCUGUGUGCUGCUGGGCUAAGUCAAAGUCAGCCGCAUUGCAAUCCCAUGUGGAGAGCCCAGUCUGGCCUGGCCACAUCCUGCCCUACACGGAGAGGGGAGUCUGAGGCUGGGGCUGGCUGCCCCUGCCCAGCCAGGGACUCAUGGCCAGGCUGCAGCUGCAGGUGUCAGGAUGGGGACAGGGCCAGGGCCAGGGCCAGAGGUGUGAGUCAGACAGAACCCAUGCAGAGUCCCCAGUCUGGCCAGUGUCCCAGUCUGCAGCCCUGGCUGUGGUGAGAAAGGCACCGUGCUCCUGACAGCUGUUCUGGCUCUGCUCACUGCCACACACUUCAGCGUGCAUGCAUGUGUGUAUGUGCACGUGUAUGUGCACGUGUGCCCUCCCUUGUAUCUCUCCACCCUGGAUGUUUCAGUCUGAGGGACAAAUGCAGCCUCUGGUCUGGGCUCCUUCUGCCUCCCACCCAGCUUGGCUCCGGAACCGCGUGCCCCGCAGCCCCGGCCCGGCCCCGAGGCGCUCCCAGCUCCACGCAGGAACUUACCUCGUGCCUCCAUCCACCACACAUGCGGGCAGGGUGUGGGCCAUGCUGCAGCUACCCCAGUCACACGCUGGGGCAAGGGGCAGAGCCAGAGAAGAAGCUGCAUGUGCUGUUCCCAGCUUGUCUAAUCAGGUGGGUCUGGGGCAGGCCCGUGCCACGCAGCCCUUGGGGCAGUGGCGGCAGGACUCAGCUCACUAAUAAGCCUGGCCCUGCGGGGGUAAGCAGCUCCCCUCCCCUUGCUGCCAGCUGGGGCCUGUGGGCUGGCCCUGCCCACCCUGAUCUCUUCUUUUAAUACAUUGUAUGCUUAGUAUACAAUCAGUCAUUAAAUUAUGAUUGGACCCUGACUUAAUAGCAUUGCAAUAUCUGUCUAUAAUAAUCUUGGCCUCCUCCUUUGUGAGUAUGCUCACUUAGUAGGAGAUAAAUCAUUCGCUACUGGAAAGAAAUCACUGGCCCCUGGAACGGGGAACUUUUCCAUAUCAUAGGUGAUCUAAACUCAGAUAGACAAUCAAGGAAACCCAAUGACUAUUUAUUAUCAAAUCCAUAAUAUCAGAGAAAUGAUUGGGUCCUAGGCCCAUUUCAUCUGUAAUGUGAAUGUAAUGGGUGCAUCCAGAUGAGAGCAGAUAUGUGGCGUGUGGAGUCACAAACCUGGUUGCAGUGCCUCACACCCCACAAGUCAAAAAUGAAGUCAUUUCCUAUGCUGCUAAUUUGUAGUGCAGGGGGAAGGGGCAGGGGUUGACACCGGGAAAUCCAAGUGUAAAGAAAACUUAUGCUUUAAAGUGGAGUGGCACAUGUGUCAGCAGUGUGUAUUGCUGGAAAACAGAGCCUGGCUGGCCGAAGUCACACUAGCUGCUGGCCAGGCUCUGUGCUAUUGGAUUGCCACAGCUGCAGCCCCUGGUGGCCCAUAGGACCCCAGGUAAGGCUGCUGAGGUCAGCCCAGGUGCUGGUCCCAGCCUUCUCCACCCCACCUAGGGCAACAUGCCAUGUCCCAGAGCAUGCGUGCAUGGACAUUUCCCAGGGACAAGCAGCAGAGGCACAUAUUGUGUCAUAUUGUGCUACUGCUGCUUGUCUCCAGGGAAAUGCAUGCUCCUGCUCAUGGUGACAUGCCCAAUGUGUGCAACUGCAGGAGGAACCAGUCUGAAGAGCUGUGCUGACUGUCAAUUUGGCCUACAACUCCCAGAAACCCCAAGGAGCUGGGGGGCAAGGAAAAUAGAAAGAAGACAUUUCAGGCUGAAGCAAGGGGAAGAGAGAACAUUAUGCACAUGGAACCUGGUCAGGUCUAUACAGAGGAGUGCACAGUAGAGCUGCAGACCUCACUGGCUCGGUCAGCCAGGACUGUGGCCUGAAGGAGGUGGAUUCAGACGUGGGGGCAGUUGCAGGGAGCUGUUUGAGCUCUCUAGGAACUAAAGGCUUGUUUGGGGACAGGAGGCACUACUUCAUUGUCAGGGCGGCUAGGAGCUGGAACCAACUUCCAAGGGAAGUGGUGCUUGCCCCUACCCUGGGGGUCUUCCAAAGGAGGGUAGACAGCCACCUAGCUGGGGUCAUUUGAACCCAGCAUCCUUUUCUGCCCAUGGCAGGGGGUUGGACUAGAUGAUCUGCUUAGGUCCCUUCCAACCCUACCAACUAUGAAGCUAUGAUACCUGGAGAUGUGUGUGUGGUGGUGGAAAGUAAGGUGCUAAGUACAUGUUACCACAGUGUUGAUUUUUCUUUUCCUUUACUUUGGCUCGUUGGCUUGUGACCCUAACCCCUAUGGUUUUCUAUAUAAAAGUGGGAUCUCCCGCUUGCUUAUUGUGCCUGUUUCUUGGGCGGCAGGUAUGGCACAUAUCCUUGCCAUCUUUCCUGAAGCUUCUGGUAAAGAUACCAAGUAGCGAGAGCCAUGGUAGUGAAAUUAUUAUAGGUGUGGUGGACUUACUGAUACAGCCUGGCAUGCCUGGGCUCUGAGGAGCUUUGAUGUAAUUGGUGGAGCACGACUGCUAAUUGGGUAAUUGCUGGGAGGGGCUGGCCCUGCCCCUUCCUGGGGCAGGCAGGAGGGCAAAGAGACCCAGACUUGAUUGAAGCCUGCACUUUGCAGGUCUGACAGCACCGAGAAUAAAAGGAGCAGCGUGCUCAGCAUGUGGCAGAUGUGACUGGGGGACAGCAAAGAGAAUGGAGCUGGGAAGGGCUGGGAGAACUGCACAGUGGGUUGAAUGCAGUUGCCUCUGAAGAGCUCCUGAAGACUUCUGGCAGCAGUGGGGAGCGGUGGUUGGCUUCGGCUCCAGCACUCGUUGCACUGUGUGAGACUCUGGGAGUGGUGCCAGGCAGCUCAAGUCUACAACUCCGGUGUGAGGCUGGAAUGGUGCACAAAUGGUGCAUGAAGCUGGUGCAGCUCCGGGAGCCAUUUGCAGUGGUUCAGGUUCCUAACCCCUGGACUGUGGCCAGGACGCAAUGUAAUCAGUGUUGCCCAGAAGGCCUGAGUGCAGACCGAGUCCAGACGCCGCAUGAAGUGGGCCAAGCCUCCAACCCCCAGCAGAAGGAGGAGCCCUCGGUGCAUGUGACGGUGUACAGGGCCAGAAGGACCCCAGAACGCAGUGCAGGCAAUGCUGCAUGGAGGAUCCAGGAGGAGGCUGAGCCCUGGCGCCUGCAUGAGGCGGGCCAGGCCUCCAACCACCAGCAGAAGGGGAAGCCGUCGGUGCACAUGAUGGUGCAGAGGGCCACCAGCAGCCAAAAGGGGAAUCCAGGAGCCCUAUGGGUUCCCACAUGUGGGGAGCAUCUCAACCUGAGAAGGACCAUUCGUCUGGGCCUACCCCAGAGUUGUGACUGCCAGGGGGAAAGGGUCCCACAGGGGAGGGGCAGUCCCCCCUACCUAGCCAGGGAAACCCUCUGAGUUUACAUGUUCUCCUGUGUGGUGGUAAGAGAUCACAAGGGGAAUUCAGGGUUUCCCCAUUAGUUCCUUUGGGUUAGCCUGGGCCUUGGGAUCCUUUAAUAAGUUCAGUUUAUUCCUAUUACCAUACGCCUCAAAUUUUGUGACAGCACCUCAUAUUUUGUUGUUACUGUGAGAUUGAUAAUUGUUGGUUUGUGUACAUAUGACUCCCUGAAGUCCCCACUGAGACCUCUUCCCUGCCACGCUCUUGUUACCUACUUGUUCCCCUUCGAUUCAUGCUUACCUGUCUUGAUUGAUUACUUACCUGUGUGUUAUUUGUGCCUGCCUGUGUUAAUUCGUAAUUUAUAUGUAUACUACCACUCGGGGUUCCACUCAGGAACAGGUAAAUUAUGAAUUAACAUAGACAGGCACAAGUAAGACACAGGUAAGUAAUCAAUCAAGACAGGUAAGCAUUAAUAUAUUCCUCUGAUUCAGCUCUCAGUAUAGAUAAGUUGUAUAUUUGUAAAUAUGUGCAUUAGUCUUCUGACCUAUAUUUAUAAAUAAAUUAUAUAUAGUUAAGAUAUUCUGUGCCCUGGCCUGACUCUACGGGGGGCAGAGGGAACUGAUUGACAUCUCUCAGCACUCCUCCCUAGCCACCUAUUCCUUCUAUUUGGAAGAGGGGAGCAUAUACCUGGGUGCACCCGGGUUACAUAGGAUACACCAAACUCUAUUAUUUAUUCUGAGAAAAGACAAGGUAAGGUCAGAGGAAGAGAUUCUACUUUGUAGCUACUGUUUAAGGAUGAUAACUGAAACCUAGGAGCACAUUUCCCUUUCAUAAUUACCUAUUCUGUGAUGUCUUGCUCCUUCCUCUGAAGUGUCUAGUGCCAGUCACUGCUGAGGCAGAAUAACAGAGAGAGAAAACUGGUCUGACUUGACAGAAAUGUCUUUGUUUCCAGAAAUUGACUGUAAACUGAUAUAGAUAAAGGGCCAUUAAUAAAAUCAGAUUGAGAGACAAGUUGUGCCAAAAGUAAUGUAUGAAAAACCAUACGCCAAGCAAUUUCUCUCUAAAAGAAGUACAAGAAAAGGGGGUUUGACUCUAUCAACAAUUCCAGUAUAGUAAUUACUAUUCAAAGCAGUCCCAUUGGCCUCUAUGACUAAUUAAUUGUGAUUAGUAUUACUCAUGAUAGUAGGCAUUAUGCUCAAGAAGUGCUCUCUGGAUCUAUAUGGCAUUUAAUCUCAAGGAAGAACCCACAAUAUUUAAAGUGAAGUGCCUCUGUUUUAAAGGAAACAAGACUGGGCACUUACCAGUUCAUCUGUCAGCAACAGACAGAAAACAUUGUCUUGACUUACAAGAUAUUUUAUUUAAAAUGUUUUUAGCUGUAAGAGUAAUCCCCAGCUAUUUAACAAAAGCAAAUUAAUUAGAAAGAACUGUUUAUCACAGCCCAGCAUUCCCAGAAGGGGAAUCAACUAUAUAAACAUGCUAAAACUGACCUAUUUAUGAAUUGUUAUAGAGAGCUGAGAAAAGAACCACAACAGAUCUUUAUCUUACGUUCACUGCUUCUAAAGAUCAAGAGUAGGGUGAGGGCUGAGGCCACUUAUCACAUAUGUUUUAAACAUGAAUGUUAAGGUCAUUUAAAAUUCCAUUGCCAAAGCUUCUCUGGCUGCCAGAGAAAUGUAAAGUAGUCUUCUUUGGUCCUCAUUAUAUGCUUAAUAUGCUGUAUUACGGGACUAUGCUUCCCUUUCCAUAUAAAUCAUUAUUGCAGGGCACCACUGAUGGGUGAUCCUGAGGUUUCUGUCCCCAGUUGGCUCUGCACUCCCCCUCUCUUACUAUCCUGCCAUGCCUUGAUAUUAAACAGUUUGCAGUAAAUUGCUUCAUCCCAGACAGGGCGGGGUGGAUUUUAAGCCAGGCGUCAGUUCAGUGUUUCAUCUUUAUUGUCACUAUCAGUGAUUGGGUCCUGGCCCCUGUCCAGGGUCUCAGCCUUGCUGCCUGAAAGGUCCCUCUCUGCCUUGGCCAACUGUCUUAAUUGCCUCUGUUCUUGGUCUUGAACCUAGAGCCUUCAGCUCCAUUGGCUAAUGAAUCAAUCUCUGGGCCCAGUCUUUAGGCUUUAGGCCUCUGCAGCCUUGGCCUCAAAACAAGCACUCACAAACUGCUGAGGGUCAAUUCCAACUGAAUCUCUUGUCUUGGUUCCCUGCUAUGUGACCUGCACAUCGCCCUUUAUAGCUGCGCCCAUUCUACUGGUUGUUAACAACAGAGAUUUUUAACAUACUAUCCUGCCCUCUCAGCUACCAAACAAAGUCUCAAACCUAAAACAGCCCUCUUGGGCCCAAAAAGAUAACAAGGGAAAAAACCAAACAUGUAGCUUACUGCUGCUGAGAUUCAUGUGUGUUCAGGUCCAUUCCCCAUGUGCCCAAGGGCACUAUCAACCAACUUCUGGGGUGUCUCCCUUCUCCCUCUCAAGGGCAGUCAGUCCUGGGUCCACUGCCAAGUCUCUCCUCUCUCCCCAUGGGUGCCGGGGACCAGCUUUUAUGCCUUGGGGCCUCCCCUUUCUCGUCACCUGACCCUGUCUGGUCAGGCCAUUAUAUAUGGUCCUUAUUACCAGUGUGCAAUCUCCAGGAGGGGUGGAUCUGCAGCUUGUCUCCAGCUGAAUCUCUUCACCUUUUUUGGCUCAAAUGGUCCUCACCUUAAAAGGACCUAACCCUGCUGCUCUCUCCUGUUGUCUCUUCCCGGUAAGAGGGGUAAAACCUCCUGUUACGAUUGUCACAAACAGAGCAAUCAGUCUUUUGUAGGCAAGUCACCAAGUAUAAAUGUUAAUAACAAAUGCUGAAGAAACCAAGCUGUGCUGGUUUUUUAGUUCCUAAGAAAGAAAAUAUAAUUUAAAAAAAUGUUUGACGUCUUCCAAUUAUAUGUGAUGGGUAUGCAAAUUGAGAUAUAUAUGUUAUAAUGCAAAUAUAAUAGCUAUAUUCAUAUGACAGGAUCAUUUGGCUACUAUUGAAAACCAUACUUAGAAAAAAAUAAUAAAGAUUUUUUUACAAGGUGUCUGCUUGGUCCGUAAAAUAUAACUGCAAAUUUUCAGAGAAAACAAAAGUAUUUGAGAGAAUUCUGCAACCCUCACUCAGGCAAAAUUUCUGUUGAAGUCAAAGGAUGAAAUUCUGACCCUAUUAAAUCAAUAGCAAAACUCCCAUUGAUUUCAGUGGGACCAGGAUGUCACCCACCUUCUUUACAUCCAUGGAGUAAAGAUUGCUUCCUUUUAGAUAAGGACAGAGUUAUACCAAACCAUUGCACAUGUGUGCAAGGAAUGAAUGGGGGCGAGGGCAAAAAAUCUCUUACCCCCCGCCCCCCUCCCCUGACCACAUAACAACAGUUGGGUAAAAUGCAUUUCUUAAUUCCUUCAUUUUCAGUAUAGCCAGAGGCACCGGAGGGAUUGUCUUCCCACUACUGGUGAGCAGAGCUAGUUGGAUUGAUAUUGAAGGCUUAUUGUGGCUUCUCUAAGGGAUAUAAUAGCCAACAUACUCCGUGUGAGCAUCUGGUUGGUCUGAAAGAUUUGUGCCACUUUACAACACAAUGCCUUGUGGAGUGGUGAAAAUCCAAGCUAUGCCUCACUUGAAACAAAGCCUUACAGAAGUGUCAUUAUUAACCUAGGAACAGUAAGGAAACAUAGGCGUAUGGUUUAAGAAAAAAGGAAUUUUACAGUGCACCAGUGCAAAGAAUUUCGAUUUUUUUUUUUAAAUGUGUGUGCUUAUGAUGAAUUAGGGGUGUUUUAUUUUAUUGUAUUUAUAAAGUUCUCCACUGGCAUCACUGUAAGCUAAGCUCUAUCACUGUUUAAUUGCUGAUUUUCUAGGAAUGCUAGUUUUCUCUGCUGAGGAAGUAAAAGAGAGAGAGAGAGAGAGAAAGGUGCGGCAAGGAAGAAGGGAGGAGAAAAGGAAGAAAGAGAAAACAGGAAGGGUGCCAAAGCCUGGGGGAUAAUGUUUGUGUUUAAAAGGGGAACUUGAGACUGUGCCAAAUCAGAAUAUUCUUUAGGAACUUGAGAGCAGAGAGCCUCCUUAUGACUGCAAAUCAAAGCAUAGGAAUAAGAAGCCUUAAUGCAAUCCACCAUAAUGGUACUGUCAUGAAGCCAGGCAGUGAAAGCUAGAAAAGGAAAUAAAUGUCCACUGGCUGUCACCAUAAUGGUCUGAGAGAGGUUCACUGAAAGGACUCUGAACCUUAGCAGUUCUUUCAAUGAACCUGUGCCUAAUAACAGGUUUGUAACAAAAUCCAGAACCAGGCAAGGGAUUUCACAAAGUUUCUACGCUUAAAAUUGACAAAUUUAAAUUGUUCCAGCUGAAUUUUUGCUUUGAGUUUUUCAGCUUUCUUGGCUCCAGCAAUUCUCUGAAACUUAGUGGGUUUGAACCUGUGGACUAAAAGAGGAUUACACAGGCCUUGUACAAAGUAAAACAUAAAGUCUACACAGCUUUUGUACAAGAGGACAAAUGUACACCUAAGUGUGGUCAAUAGAUUUAUGCUAAUCAUGAAUUUGACUUGGGAUGAUUAGGCAUCCAGGUUGUAGCCAUAUUGGUCUAGAGGAAAAAGCAAUCAGGACUCAUAGUAGAGAUGAUAACUUUUAUUAGACCAACAAGCUUUUUGGCGCUAAUGCACAGGUUGUAAUUCUAUUAAUUAUGCAGGGUGGACAUGUAAGCUUAUGAUUGUAGACUGAGCAUGUGCAGUAGAUUGUGCACUGAUCAUGUGUGUACCUGGCUACAUUGUGGAUUGGUAAGUGUAAGUCAUGAAAAUAUAGCUGCAAAAAGCUCCAGAUCACUAGGAGGGUCCCCACAUGUUUGACUGAAUGUUCAGAGCAUUCACCUGGGAAGCAGAAGACCGGAGUUGUAGCACCCAUUGAUCCAGAGGGAUUUUGAACCAUUAUCUCUUUGACUUCUCCCAUACACUGUUUUAAAGCACCAGGGCUGGAUAGGUUAGGCAGAAUCUAGCCUAUCACCAGCGCCACCUUUGAAGAUGGGUCCCUGUGCAGUUGAGAUGAGAGAUGUGAGGCCAGGAGGAAGCAAGCAAGCUAGAAGGUGUGUGACUCACUGAUGGCUGCUGCCUGUGGCAGGAACAGCUCUUGUGUUCUGGUCUGGAUCCAUGUCCCCAGUGGGGUACAGACUUCUGCACCACAGGCUCUGGAUGCUUUUCUUCCACUGUUACAUCCAAGGUGCAGUGGUUCAGAACAAAAAUGAGAGGGUUCUGGGGAGUGGUGUGGUGGUUUGAACUUUGCACACAGAAGUCUGUAGAUUUAAACCCCCUCUGGCUGAGGGGGCCCAGAACCAGGGUCUCCUGCUGCUUCUCAGGUUAAUAAUCUACUCCUAUAGCCUGCAGAGCCUAAUAUAUGUUAAGCAUGGGGGUGCUGCCCAAAACCACAUUGUCAUGACUUACGCGCACUUACGUAUCCACAAUGGGGGUGUGUAUAUGGACAGAGUGUAAACUACUGCACAGAUUCAGUUCACAUACACAAGCUUAUGUGUCCACAUUGCAGGAGUAAUAGAAUCAACCAAAAUGCUGGUAACAGGGCUGGAAACUUCCAUUUAGGUGCCCAAGGAAAAUACAAAUUCCACCUUACAUAGUGAUUUAAUAAGUGUCCACUGGAGUCCUUUGCAUUGUGAUCCUAUGGUUGGCAGUACAAGAUGGGAGCCUUCAAUGCUACCCAGAUGCUGUGAUGAGAAGUUUGAAGACAAAUAGGUUGGAAGAGAUGCUCUUUCUUCUGUUGUAUUACUCUGAUAAAGUUUUUAAAAGAUGGUCUAGCAGUGCCUUAUGAAUUUAUUUAAGACAGCAAUAUUUCUAACGUAACGCAGGAACUUGUUUUUAAUAUAGCAAGGUGAAUUAUAUUUUAUGUUGCACCAAACCACUGACCAAUUCACAUGAAUACAAUAUCAUUUUUAGAAAGGACUCUUCACUACUUAUUCAGAUUGUUAAAAACUACAGUUAAAAUUCCAUAAAUGUAAAACAUCACUCUGAUGAACCACUAUGUUCAUACCCAGAGUCACAUCUUACUAUAUAAAAUUUAUACAAAAGUGAUUGUUUCCUGAUAUUCUUAAUAGAGUUUAUUACAAGGAGAAAAGACCUAAUUCUUUUUCCUUAUAAUCAUGAACUUAAGCUGUGAAAGUGAUUUCUUGGUCUUUGUGCUCUCAGAAUAAUCCAUCCCGCUAAAGUCCUUUUUAAAUUGUUGCACUAGAUGUCUGUUUACUUCCAGGCAUACUGGAGGUUUCAAACAGUAUGACUCUGUCCCUUGUCCAUGAUUACUAAUUCACCAUAAGUGUCUUAAAAAAAAAUCAAAGAAAUGAAAAUAAGUGCCAUGACACAGUAGGCCCCAUUCUCACAGGAUUGCAGCUCAUGCUGGAGCUGGAAUCUCCGAUUUCAUUUGUUUUGAUGUACUGUGUAAAUAUUUAAACAAUGCACACUGCAAUUUUAUCCAGGCUUCAGUGUAUUUCGGAGCUUAGCGUCUUGGUGGGGGUUAUAAUGUUGAUAUUAAUUACAGAUAGAAUCCCUGAAUCAGCAAAGCAUUGACAGAUCUGCAUGAGUCCAUUGCUAUUCAGAAAAGCACUUAAGCAUGCAUCCUGCUUAAGUCUCAUUCAGGUGCCACAGAAGUCAACAACACUUAGGCACGUGCUUCACUAAACAGGGAUGAUGUUAAGCCCAAAGAUGAAAAAGCUUCUAUACACAUAUAUUGCACAUGUAGCUUUGCUGCUUUUCAAGGUUUAAAUAGUUAGCGCUCUCUUAAACAAGUGGCUAAAUUUGAAAUGACUGAAUUACCUAAAGGCGAUUAAAAGUUACAGUGACUAAUACUGUGAUAAGAUGUACAAUUUUAGAUAAUACAAACAUGUGUCUAUGAAUUAUCUGAGGUGAAGUGGUCAGUCCUGGACCAGUGAUAAGUUAGAAGUCCAAUAGCUCAUAACAAACAAGGACUAGAAAUUACAUUGUUAUAAAAAUGGAAAUCCAGAAGUGAUGGUAUAAGACUCCGACUUCAGUGGACCAUGAAGAGGUCCUAGUAUGUGCCCCGGUCCCUGAUCUCUGCCUUCAAUCAGAAGAAACUAUCCCAUUACUGUUAAUUCAAUGAAUAUUCAAUACAGGGUGCAGAACAAUCACUGGUGGGGCCAGGACCAGGUGCUGGAACCCAAGGUCCUUCCCUCUCCCUUUUAGGGCAGCAUCCAACAGACUUGCUGUCUGACCCUCCCUCUAACUUGCUGUCCUUUUUCCAGUUCUACACAUCUUUUGGCCUUUAGCCCUUUUGGCUAAAUUAUAACUCUAAACUUAUGCGCUAUUGCCAUACAAUAUUAAAAAAAAAAGUCACAUCAUCCAGAGGUGGCUGUAUCACAGUGUCUUUUUCUUACAUAGCCAAAUUCAAGGCCUUCUAGUUACUUGGACCACACAAAUCAGCCAUGUUCUGCAGUAAAUGAGUUUCUGUGAGAUCCAGAGAUAAGCACUUUUUCAAGGACAAACAUGAAGCUACUCUGUAGCCAUCAAACUCUAUGUCCUCUCUUGGCAUUGACUUUAUAUAUCUGUCCCUAAGUUUCUGAUUCUGGUGACAAUCCUAGAAAAUGAAAGGGAAAGCUAGUGUUAGCUGAUUGAUUAUUGAAAAGGCUCAGUAGGCCAUAAGGCUGACAGAACAAGAUCAAAAAUUAAAUUGAGAAAGUUGGUCCAGUUGUGCUUCUCUUUCCUACUGCAUUCUCAGACAGACUCUGCAAGUGACUGUCUUGAGCUCCUUGCCAACAAAAGUAAUCCUUUUUGGCUCAGAAACCUGUGGCCAAGGGACCUUUUUCUUGGUCCUCCCUCCUCUCUUCAUGUGUCAGCUGCAAGAGGUUUUCUUCUGCUUUGAAGUAGAAAACCCUACUCUAGAAGAGAUGAGACUCAGGAUUCAUGGAGAGCCUCUCUAGGUUGGUAAAAAGGAAAGGAAGAAUGGAAAAUUUCCAUGCUAAAUCAUUUUAAAAUUGAAAUCUGGGACUUUACAGAAAGGUUCUGCUUUCCCACAAAGAAUUAUGACUUUUUGACAAAAGCAAGGAAAGAAAAACAAGCAAACCAUUAAAGGCACAAAUGCAUGUGUGUGUGUGUAUUUUAACUUGAGCAAAAACUAAAGUUGCCUCAUUUUGAACACACUGCAGUGAAGACCCCUGUGGAACCUACCCCUAUCAUAUUAUGAUACGUACCCUCUGUUCCCCUUUAUGCCCUGAGUGUGACUAUCCUUAGCUUUAUGUGAUACAUUAUAUAGAGAGCCUAUUUAUGAAGCUCCUUGGAGCUCAUGCAGUUUCUAGGGUUGUGGAAACAGCUCUUGGGAUUUGCCCCAGGUGAAGCAUUUAGCAACAUAACAUUUUGCCUGUUUUCUCUGGAUUGUACCUAUGGAUCUGUUUAGGUCCCUUCCGACCCUAGGCACUAUGAAACUAUCUCAUGGUGAAUCUCUUGUCUGUUGAAAUAAAUCUCCAUGUUAUUUACAGUUCAGUGCAGACUCAUUAAGAAAGUGUGCUCUGGUUUCUCCUAGGAUCUUCAAAUCCUUACUUUUUUGGUUUUUUGGUACUUAUUUUGCCAUCGACAAAAAUCCUGAGGGGGUAGCCUGGUAAGACAACAAAGAGCUCAGGGACAAUGAAGACACAGCAAAAAAUUCUGACUAACAAGAAAAAAAAGAGAAGAAAAGGACCAAUAUUAUGGAAAAUUUUCAGUAAUUUGCCAAUAAAGAAAAGAAUGUAAUUGGAAAUAUAUGUACAAAGGCAAAAAUGGUUCCAUGAUUACAUUUACCCUAGGCCAUAAUUUAUAAAUCAAUAAGUAUGAAUUUGCUCUGUAAUCCUUCUGGCUGAAAGGCAUCACAUAAAUAUAAAAUUGUUUUCAUGACAGUGUGAUCAUACAUAUGUACAAUGUGUUUGAAGAUUUAUAAAUUAAAAUAAUUAGUAUAAUGGGCCAAAGUAUGUGCUAAACAGAACAUUCACUAACUAUUAAAAAAGUUAUGAGAUGGAAUUCAUUUAAAGAAAAUAAGAACAAGUUUUUGAAGAUGAAAUAAAUGGACUAGUCUUAAGAAACAUCAGGCUAAUGGUAAAACAUCUGCAUGCUAGUUCCUUUCUUGCCUCUUUCAAACUCAGUUAAUUUGUGCUUUUGUAUAACAUUCAAGGAGGAUCCCAAGAUUAAUCUAAAGAGUGUUACAUGAAUGGGUAAAAUUAAUGCUAUUUCUCUAUCAGAUGAUUACAUUUCUACACGCUGGGAUAAAUUAGUUUUGUGUCACUUUCAAAUCUCAAACAGCCUUUGUCAAGAGAAUAAAAUAUCCAUUAAAAAGAUAUUUGUAAUGCUUAUCAGAGAUGUUCCUGUGCCAAAUAUACAAUAUUCUGUGAAAUACAGCAAUGUGCUGGUACUCCUUUGAUCUUUUCAAUAUUCUCCAGCUUGGUUAGCAGCCAAGGAUCAUUUCACUCUCUGGACAGAUUAGUUGGAAUGGGAAAAUAAAUGAAUGAAACUGAAAUAUUGAACUUUAUUCAUGUCUCACUGACAUUGUUUCUAUGGACAUAUAACUCAAAUGACUCUAGCUAUUCUACUUCUGAUUUAUAAGUGACAUCAAACUUGGACCCUUUUUCUGCAAUGGUGGCACAGAGCAAAUUAUUUCUUACUUGCUUAGGAAUGAAAGAGACAAGAAAACCUGUUUUAAAGUUGUAAUUAUUCAUAUGAAGAUGAGUUUUCUGAAUUAAAUAUCCUACAGUCUAUCUGAGGUACUGAAAUAGUCACCAUUACUAUAGUGCCUGAGCAUUUCUUACUCUGGGAUGUCUACAUUGUGUCCUCAUGCAACUUGGGUGAAUAGUCUUGAGCGUGUCUUGCGGACCCACUAAAACUUGCGUGCACCAAACUCAGAACCAUGGUGGUUGGGCCACUGUAGAGAUCCCUUGGAGUUUGCAAAUAUUGACCAUGUCUUUAGGACUCUUUUACUGUAUUCUUUACUGUGGCAUGAGCCAAGUUUGUCUGUAUAUAUGUUUAAUCAAGCUAAAACCUCUUUUUAAUACUUUUUUUUUUUGUACAGAGUCCGGCAUAAUGAGGCCCCAAGUCCCUAUACAGGGCCAUUAACUCAUUAGCUGCUACCCCAAGUUAAUUAGCUCUCCCAUUAGCUCUCUCCUGGGUCAGAGGAGGGGCACACUGAAGUGCUCUGGGUUAGAAUACAAGGAAGUCAAGGGGAAAGGGACUUGACGGUGGGGGUCUACUACAGACCACCCAACCAAGGGGAAGAGCUAGACCAGGAAUUCUUAAGUCAUCUCACGGAGGUAGUUAGGUCAAAGGAUGUGUUCAUCAUAGGUGACCUGAACUUUCCAGACAUUUGCUGGGAAGAACAAUCAGCCAGGUCUGGCUGCUCACAUAGGUUCCUAGCCGAGAUACAGGACCUCCAUCUAACCCAGGAGGUGCACAGCCCCACCAGGGGAAACGCCUUGUUGGAUCUGGUCCUGGCCACAGGCAAUGACCUGGUGAAGGGUCUGUGGGUGCUUGACCACCUGGGUGACAGUGAUCAUCGCCUGCUGGAAUUCACCAUCCAGUGCAAGGUGGCAAAGGCCUGCAGCAAGGCAGCAGCCAUGGACUUCAAGAGGGCAGAUUUCAAUGAGGUAAGGAGAAUAGUCGGAGAGGCACUGAGGUCUUGAAGGGGAGGGGAGUUGGGUGUCCAGGAAGAGUGGUUGUUCCUUAAGGAGAUGAUCCUCCAAGCCCAAAGGGAGGUAAUCCCAAUGCAGAUCAAAGGGGGCAAGAGGGCGCAAAAGCCCCCAUGGCUCACCAAAAGCAUACAGAAAUGUCUCCUAGCUAAAAAGGAGGCGUACACCCAAUGGAAGGGAGGGGCCAUCACCAGGCAGGACUAUACCUUGGUUGCUUGGGGCUGUAGGGGGGCAGUCAAGGCCAAGACGGAGAUGGAACUGGGACUAGCUACCCGGAUCAAAGACAGCAAGACAUACUUUUUUAAAUACAUAGGGGAUAAAAAGAAGGUACUGGGUAAUGUGGGGCCUCUGCAGGACACGCUAGGAAAUCUGAUAAUUGCACUAGACAGCAAAGCUAACCUAUUUAACAAUUUCUUUGCCUCCAUUUUUCUAAGCAGGGACCAGGUCAGCCCCCCCACCAGGACCCCCUUAGGUUCCAGGGGAGGUGCACCCAGGCCUAGGAUCAGUGAGGACCUAGUCAGGGAACUUCUGGAGGGACUAGAUGUAUUUAAAUCAGGAGGUUCUGAUGAUCUCCACCCCAGAGUGCUGAGGGAAUUAGCAGCGGUCAUAGAGGGACCCUUGGCAUGGCUUUACGAGCACUCAUGGUGCUCUGGCAUGGUGCCAGAGGACUGCAAAAGGGCCAAUGUGGUUCCCAUUUUCAAAAAAGGGAGGAAGGAGGACCCAGGAAACUAUAGGCCAGUCAGUCUUACCUCAAUCCUGGGUAAGCUUUUUGAGAGACUUAUCCUGGCACAUGUCUGCGAGGGGCUAGCAGGGGAGUUUAUGCUUAGGGGCAACCAACAUGGGUUCAUUAGAAGCAGUUCCUGUCAGACCAACCUGGUGGCCUUCUAUGACCAGGUCACAAAGUCCUUAGAUGCAGAGGUAGCAGUGGAUGUAGUCUUUCUGGACUUUAGGAAGGCCUUUGACACUGUCUCUCACCCCAUUCUCAUUAAAAAACUAGGGGACUGUUGUGUCAACACCUACACAGUCAAAUGGGUCACAAGUUGGCUGGAGGACUGCACCCAGAGAGUGGUGGUGGAUGGGUCAUUUUUGACCUGGAGGGAUGUGGGCAGUGGGGUUCCCCAGGACUCGGUCCUUGGGCCCGCACAGUUCAACAUCUUCAUCAGUGACUUGGACGAGGGGGUAAAAAGCACCCUGUUCAAAUUCGCAGAUGACACUAAGAUGUGGGGCGAAGUGGGCACACUAGAAGGGAGGAAUAGGCUGCAAUCAGACCUAGACAGGUUACAGGGAUGGGCAGAUGAGAACAGGAUGGGUUUCAACACUGACAAGUGCAAGGUACUGCACCUGGGGGGAAGAACCAGCAGAAUACCUACAGGCUGGGGAACUCCCUUCUCAUCAGUGCAGAGACAGAAAAGGAUCUUGGAAUCAUGAUCCAAAAUGAACAUGGGCCGACAGUGUGGGGACACAGUCAGGAAGGCCAACUGCACCUUGUCAUGCAUCCACAGAUGCAUCUCAAGCAGGUCCAAGGAGGUCAUCCUCCCCCUCUAUGCGGCCCUGGUCAGGCCGCAGUUGGAGUACUGUGUCCAGUUCUGGGCGCUGCACUUCAGGAGGGAUGUGGACAGCAUUGAGAGGGUUCAGAGGAGGGCUGCCUGCAUGAUCAGGGGGCAGCAGGGCAGGCCCUAUAAGGAGAGGCUAAGGGACCUGAACCUGUUCAGCCUCCACAAGAGAAGGCUGAGGGGGGAUCUAGUGGCCUGUUACAAACUAGUCAGAGGGGACCAGCAGGCAUUGGGGGAGUCCCUGUUCCCCUGAGCACUACCAGGAGUGACAAGAAAUACUGGUCACAAGCUGGCAGAGGGUAGAUUCAGGCUAGACAUCAGGAGGUGCUUCUUCACUGUCAGGGCAGCUAAGAUCUGGAACCAACUUCCAAGAGAAGUGGUGCUGGCUCCUACCCUGGAGGUCUUUUAGAGGAGGCUGGAUGAACACCUUGCUGGGGUCAUUUGACCCCAGUACUCUUUCCUGCCAUGGCAGGGGGUCGGACUUGAUGAUCUGCUCAGGUCCCUUCCAACCCUACCAACUAUGAAACUAUGAAAUAAAAGCAGCAGCAACAACAACAUUGGGCCUGUGGAACCCCCAGGGGCCUGAAUUUUUAUUUACACUGGGGUGCAGAGAGCAAUGCAGCUCCCAGCUGUAACUCCCAAUGAUUUUUGCGAAGCGCUAUGAGUUACACUGUUACCCCAGACCAAACAGAAGUUCACUGUUGGUUCUGGGGGGAAUGGAACCUAGCUGUGGGCUGGGAGCCUGCCAUCAGGUUCCCAUAGCAAUGGCCAGGGCUUUCUGCCAGUGCGUGCUGUUUUGGGAGGGCAGGAAAGCAGCAGAGGGAGCUCAUUCUUGGGGGUCCCCAGCUGGAGGAUCCAAUACAUCUGCCACACCCUUGAGGGGGGGCUGAAAACCCCCCAGACUGAACACCCUCCACUACCUUUCCCACCUCCCAUUCUGAAAAUAGCACCAGGCUGGGAGCUCAGUAGACACAACUUACAAAAGAUGCUAUAUUUUGAAAUGUCUUUAUCUCAUCCCUCAUGCAAAGAGGGGUCAGAUUUUCACCUAAUCAGCCAUUUUUGAAGCUGUCUGCAGUCAUGCACUUGUGUUUGGUCCAGCUAUAAACUGGUUUCUGUGGCCAGAUCAGUGAAAAUUGUCGCUUUUAUCUGCACCCUUGGGCACUCUAAACGGACGUAAAAGUAGUAAAAUAUUAGUUAGACCCAAUUUAAGGCUCCUUUACAUUGUUGGAAUGGUAUAAACGCUCUUAAUGUAAAGAAGAAUGAAGCCUAUUGACUUCAAAAUCACUUUAAAUUGCUGUAUUAGAUUGGUGUUGUAUAAUGGCACUACGCUGUCGUAAUUCUUUUCAAGUGCUGGGUACUUGGAAUACCUGCAGUAUGAACUACAGUUGCAGGUGUGACACGUUCGCAGUUUCAGGUCUUCUAAGCAUACAGGAACCUCUCCUAUUAACAUUUCAAUGGACGUGUAGGUGUCUUUGGCAUUAAAACAGAGUUAGUAGCAAAUAGUACUCACUUAGUUUGCCCCUAUGAGAUUCUCUGCAUUACCUUCCCUUGCAGUAACAGAGGUUACAUCUGGUUAUACUAAGGUGAUAGCUCUUUGGUUGCAGUUAUCACUGGCAAUUGAGCAAUCUACUCUAUAUGUUAUCCUUUGCAGAUGGUGAACCUGAGCAAUCCAUUACCUGUGUCUGGUAAUAUCUUGGGGUUUUUUUCUUUGAAAGAUUGUUUCCAAAAUCCUGGAGCCUGUUUUGAAUAUUUCCAUGAUCUUUUUCAUCUCCACAUAUGACGAGUAAAUUACGAAUGCCUUUUCAAACACGUAUUACAAUAUCUGAAUAGGAAAAACAUCUCUGAUGCAACUCUACAUACUAUAGUGACAUAAGACAAAUGUGUUCCGCCUGUAGAAUAUGGACUUCAUUCUCCAGUGCCCGAUGCACCUUGUGUAGCUGAUUAUAUACAAAGUGAGUGUAAAUCUCCACCUCAUCAGAAUGGCGGGGGUUUGACUCUCAGCUACGUGAGGUCCUCCUUACCCCUCCUGGUGCAUUACAGGUCUUAAAUAAUCUACGUGCAUUCCUGGUCUUAAAUAAUCUACGUGAAACAUACACCCUUUUUAAGGCCUCAUUACACUACCAGAUUUCAGUGGAAAUGAAAAUCAAGCCUAAGAGCAUUUGGAAUUUAUUUGUUAGUGGUGUGAAUCAGUAUAUCAGAGGCACAGCAGUGGAGAAUCACGUCCAACAAGAGCAACCAGGUAUUUAGGCAUGAAAUCAUACAUUCAUGCAUAUAUCUUCUAUAGGUGCAACUUGAAGGGGUCAGAAAACAUUGCAUUUUAUGUACUUGUACCCUAGGGCUUUUCUACAUAGGGACACACAGAAAAGAUGAUAUGAAUGAAUGUUUAAGGUAGAUUUAUUAAACUGCAUUAAAUUGUUCUUAUUUAGUGGCUUUGAGUUGAGUUAGCUUAAUUCACUUGCAAAGUGAGUUGUGAUGAAUUGAAUUAAGCCAAGUUACAUUCUGAAAAAGAACAUCCACAUAGGAGUUUAAUGAGGUUUAACUAAUCCAUUUUAAAACCCCCCAUGAAUUAACUUGAGUGUCCCUGUAUAAGCCCAUGGAUAGAAAUGACUGAAGAUGUGGACCUAACAAUCUAGGCUGCAGUAAACAUUACUUCAAAAUGAAUGAAACAAUAGUCUUGAUUCUUUUUCACUUAUACCAGUAAAACAUUAUUGGAGCAAAUGGAGUUUUGAUGCUGCUUCUGAUCCUGCCUUGAGCAGGGUUGGACUAGAUGAUCAUUUGCGGUUCCUUAAAGCCUUACGUUUCCAUGAUUUUAUGAUUGUGUGGUGUAAAACUACUGUGAAGAGAAUCACCACUGUGGGCUUUAGUGAAAGAAAUAAGAGGGAAAUCUGGAUGGUGAUUUUGAACAAAAAAUAAUCAAACCCUCAUGAAGGAAUAUUUUUAGUAACUGCAUAUUUCUUGGCAAUUUUUAAUGUAUGUAAAUGUAAAAUAAUUUCCCUUUUGCUGUAGGGGACAGUGAAGGAGAUAGAUGAUGCAUAUCUAAAAUCAGAUCAAAGUUGGAAGGGUAAAAGUCUGACCAAUUUUGUAAUCGUUGGUCACAGUUGUUGGUCCUUCUGUGCCAGCUGAAUACUAUAGAAACUUCAGAGUUUCUUCACUGCUGUUUAGCAUCAUACCCAGUUUAUGGGCCGUAAGAGCAUUUGCAUCAAAUAUUCGUGUUUAUGACUUGGCUCACAGUGUGUAAGAGCAAAUCUCAAGUAAACAGGGCUGUUUGGGAAAUAAAUGAACUCAUUUUGCCUAAUUUCAAAUCUGCUGAACCAUGUUUGAGUUAAACAUAAGGCUUGAGUGCUUUUCUGUUGGUGUUCUGCCUAAAUGAGGCUGUGACAAAAGAACAAAGGAGAGAACGCCAAUGGAAAAGAAGGGGAUAGUAACAAAAUGGAAAAUGAAUACAAAACUACCAUACAGGGUAAAAAAUGAGUAAGAUCUCCUGGAAUUAUCCCAAUAAGAUGUGAUUCCUUUAGAUGGACUUUCCAGUGGCAGCUCCAAGAACAAUGUAAUGGAAUAAUUUCCCUUUGAAGCACUUUAAGGGCAUGGCUAUCCCACCUCCACAUGGUGCUAGAGAGUGCCACAGAGAAGCAUGGCUCGCACCCAGAACACAUGCAAUGUAACUGCAUUACCUACUGCCUUGGCACUGAGCAGUCACCAUAAGCCAUUUAAGACAGCAAGCUUACUGAUAUGCCCAUGCCACUCCAUGCUGGUUACUUCUCUUUCAAGGUGCCGUGUGUCCAGAGCAGUUGUUCCACUCACUGGUGACCAACCCAUUAUGGUCAGUGUUUAUAGAAGUAUGCUGCUUUGCACCUACGUUUCUGAAAUGGGUGUUUUAAAGAUGGACAAAACAGAUUUUGCAAGGCUAGCUGUCUUGUUUUCCUGUAUGAAAGUGAAGUGUAUUGUCAUGUACCACAGAUGUGUGCCACAUGUAGUAACACAUUUUAAUACUCAGCAAUGUGCUUUUUUAUUAUACAUUUGUUGGAGGAAUAAGCUUCAUGUCAUGAAAUCAGGUGACAUAAACCCUCCUGAGAUGUGUUUAGUGAUGAGUGAAAGGGAUGGAGGAGCAGAUGUAUCUAAAAAAUAUACUUGGCAUGCAACUAAGAUAGGGAAACUUGUGCUAAAUUUGGCUUUUUUGUGUGUGAGGCUUUGGCUCUGGAUAAGGAUUCUUGAUAUGCAUUUCUGCCAAAUAAGUUUAGUGUCUAGCCCAUACAUAUUGCCAUAUAUGGUUAUCUACUUACUCAUUUUUGUGUCUACCAUAUGUCUAUUUUUUUCUUUUCCAUCUAGCAGAGUUCUAAUUGUUACAUUAGUAGACAUUAUCAUUGUUAGGGUUUUCAUUCACCUCAGAAAAAAGGUACCCUUUUUUUUAAUUAUUCAGAUGGAGGUCACAAGGAAGCAAGGAAAAGCAAAUAUACAUUCUCAACAAGAGAGAACAGUAGGCUGAACUCUGCCCUCAAAAAUGCAUUCAGUUCCUAUUGCUUUUAAUGGGAAUUCUGCAUGGGGAACUGCACUAGUCCAUAGUUUCAUCCAAUAUGUACUCAGUUCCCUGUAUGAGAACAGCUAUUUGAAUGGAAACUACUGUCCAAAUAGAAGUCUAAGUAGAAGUCAUCAGCUUUUUUGAAGAAUAUGCUAACUGUGUCUCCGUGGGACCUUGCUUUGAUGGGAACAGUAUAACAGCAGCCAUUGCAGUCCAUAGAUACUGGCCACUACCCAGUCCUAAGAACACCCCUCCCCCCCCCCCAUGUCAAUUGACUGGAAGCAGGAAAUACAAGUCAGUCUCUAACCAGAGCUCUUGUGUAUUAAACUUUUUUUACAUUCAGUGUCUUUGAAAAACCAGGCUACUUAUUUAGUUUUGUAAUAGGGUCUCUACCCCAUUGCUAGGGAGUUGAAGACACUCAGAGCGAGCUUUCUCUUGCUGCUAGUCUCUCCUGCCCCCGCCUCCCCCCAAUUUCUUUUAUCACCUAGCUUCCCUCUCCCUUCUCACUGCAAUGUAGACAUGACCUCCCCUGUUUGUUCCUGGGUCAGCACCUCCCUAUCUCUUGCCCCACUCUGUGCUUGCUCCCUAUUGCUCCACACACACAUGCACACACCCACACACACGCAUGCUCACCUACCUACCUUUAUCACAUGGUCAAGGUUAAUGAACUUCCAGGUGUGGCUGAGGCUGAGGCAGCAGAAGCCAUAUAACUGUAGGGUGUGGGAAUUACUCAGGGCAGAAGUGGAGGACUCAGGUGACCCACUGCCACAACGUGAGGCUCGAGCUAGACCUGAGAGGAGAAAGGCAGAAGGAGCCCAAAGGGAGGGAGCUCCUGGGACCAAGGCAGUCAGCAGGAGUCAGCAUCAGGUAGAGAGUUGAAAUUUCUGGCUGCUGUAGGAUGAUGGAAGAUGUUGUAUGGAGGAACCAGCUAAGUUUCCAGACUUGUGUUUGUUUUAUUUUAUUUUCAAUUGCAAUUCUGGUGUCAGUCUUGGGUGAAGUGAACCCUGGCAGAGCACGUGCACCCAUAAUUAGACUGCUGCUCAUGACUGCAGCUCAGCCUUGGCUCGGGGAAGUGGGCUGGAUUGUAGGGAAGAGGAACAGAGAUUGUACAAAGACUGAGUGAGACACUAAGAGCAGCCAGGAGAUGCUGGCAUAGGCCAUAUCGGAUGCAAGGGACUGGCUCUGAGCUCAGCCAGGAAGUGCUUGUGCAGAAGGAUAAGCAGCAACACGGUCCAGCUUGGCAGCUGCAAGCCUCCGACAGGCUGUGCUGCACCUGAAGCCUGUAGCCCUGAAUAGCAGGCUCAGAGCUACUAGGUGCAACUAGAAUAACAGUGGAUGGGCACUGUGCAGACCCCUGUCCAGAAAAGGGCCACGUACCUGGGAGCCUGUUCCACUGGAGAAACUGUCCCUAGUCAGCAUAUUCCAUCAAGUCGUGGCAAGUGAGACCACUGACAGUGAUAAGUCUGCAGUAGUAGUGAGGCAACCAGCAGAGGAAGGCCCAUAGGGUUCACACACAAGCCUCUGUGCUUAGGCAAGAGUACAAGGUUCCUGAUUAUGGAUUUAUUUGCCUAACUUAAAGGGUUCAGGUUUGAACAUCUGAAAUGUAUUCAUGUAUAACAUCUGAAAUUUUGGUGUUGGAUUGAACUAAAUGAGUGGAGUCAUUCUUUAAGGAAAAAAAAAAAUAAAGAUCCCAAACCUUCAUUAGGUUUUGUGCUAACCAGCAUUCCUAUGUUUUAUAUUCAAACCAAUGCAUUAACAUGAAACAACUGUACCAGAUGGAAGAAAAUAUCACUUCUGGGGUCAUUGAGGGGGUACAUAAAAUUCUGGCAAAUUAGAAAGAGAAAUUCACAGGGGCAUGAGAGCUCAUUAAUAUAUGCUCUAAUCCCCCUGUGGAUCAUUGUGGUUUGGACCUGUAGAAACUGAAAUGAAAAAACAGCCUACCAUAAGCUGACCAACUGCAGUGCUGAAUAGCCAAUAUCCACAAUGUUCCUCAGGCUUAUAGGGAAUGAAAGGCCUUGAAUGUAUGCAUGUAUAAAUUCUACUGAACAGCUGACUACAGUAGACGCCUAUCCUAAAUUAACGUGUCUCAGAUUAUGGUGUGAACUUCAAUAGAAAACAUAUACCUAGCCAAAAGCUAACAUAGUUUAAAAAUAUAACACUUCAUGUGCAUCAUAUUUUUAAAGCUGUUUUUGUUGAGGAGCAGAAAAAAAAUAACUACCAUGGAACUUUUUAUUUUCGCCUUGGGGAUAGAUUUUCAAGAAACUAGCAUUUAUACCAUACUUUAGCUAAUCCACCUAAGUACAGCAUCUGUAACUCCUUUAUGUGGUGUUUAGUAUUUUGACAGGACUAUUUUACUGUUUUUUCCGUCAAAAAAAGAACAACAAAAUAUUACUAGGCAAUUCUAUAACUUUGGUUAUCAUAUUUUCAUAUAUGUUAAAAGUAGAAUCAGAGGAUUCUUCAUUUCACAUACUUAGUAAUAUAAUAUCACUAACUGAAGCUUGAGUUCCCACCAUGGCUUGUUUUUUUAAGAUGAUUGUGUAGGUUCAGGGUUUUGCAGGGACCAGUGAAGGGAAUGCUAAUGGAUUUGGUGAAAAGGGGCAAUUUUUAACCAACUUUAGCUGACCACCAGAGCAUGCCUGUGGGCAUCUUAUGACUGUCAUCCAUGUAUUCCAGGGUUGCCAUCCCUCCAGGAUUGCCCUGGUGUCUCCAGGAAUUAGAGAUAAAUCUCCAGGAAACUGCUGAGAGUCACCUGGGAGAUAAAUGAUAGGGCAUUCAUUAAAAUAAAUAUUAAAUGUUGAAUCUGAUUUAUACAGUUGUCUGGCGGGUUUUUAAAAUGUAAUAGUAAUGUGCAUUUGCCUUCCUGACAUAAAGUCAUUAAUGUCAUUACAUCAUGUGAUGAAACUUCCCGGAAUAGAUUCAAACAGAGUUGGCAGCCCUAAUGUAUUCAUUAUCUCUGGGUUAGAUUAACACUUCCCCCUUUGCAUGUGGAUUUAUAAUGAUCUUCAGCCCAAAGUAACAGCUACAGCUACAGCAGCAGCAUGAAGCAACGUUCUGAUCAGCAAAUGCAGGCAAUGAGCACUUUGCAGCAGUACUCCAGAUUGCACUAGCUGCAGAUCAAUUUUUAACAAUCAUAUGAAACAAGUAUACCAAUUCCCUAUCAGCUUGAUUGUCCAGUUCUAUAGGGCUAUCAGGAGGCCAACACAAUGGCCAACCAUUCUCCCCCAGCCCUUCUAGAUAGCUUACAUUCAAACAAGGUUCUUAGGUCCAGGCACCCUUGCUAUAAAAUCUGAGUAGAUCAGACCAAGCUCCAAGCCACAAAUUAUAGCUGAAAUUGUGGUCUUGUAGUCAUUCAAUUCCUCCUCUACCCGUUGCAUCCACAUACAUGAUAUUUCCAUGAGUUUGACUGGUGCUGGAAGCUGGACUCCUGAUUAUGUUAAGAUUUUGGUCUAACAGAAGCUCAGCACAAGGUGUAGCAAUUCUUUUGUUGAAAGACCUAAAAUAUUUCAGAAAUGUUUCCUAAACAUUAACAGGAACUAGGAGGUAUUUUGAUAGCCUUAUAAAUUUAACUCAUUUAUAACAAAUACUAAACUUAUUGGUUUAUUACGCCAACAGGAAUUACGUAUUGUAUUAUAAAAUCAAAGGCCAAAAUAGUUCAGAUAACUUCAGCUAUAAUUAAGACUUCCAUGUAUUUUAUGAGAUUCUAGAGAAAGAAAUACUAUAAAGUCUAUAGAUCUUAUUGAUUAAAAAGCUGCCUAUGUAAUCAGCUUGCAUUUUUCAGUGUGUUUUAUGGGCAUCCUGGAGUAUCCACAUUCAAUACAUACUGGGCAGUAUCAGUCAUAAACACUGUACAAAUGUACUAGCGCUAUGGCUACUAGAAGGUAGGUCAGUUUAUCCACUAAUUUUGUAUAUCACAGUGAUACCCAAAGUGUAUAACUUUCCUCACAUGAACUGUCAAUGAAAUUACUCGUGGGUUUACAGCAAAACAUUGGCAUGUAUUUGGAUGACUGGUCACAUUUUGCAUAGUACUUUGGGAUUUUUAGAUAAAAGGGGUUUAUAAACAGUGAUUUUUUUUAUUACUGCUGCCAUUAGGGAAGGGAUUGGUUUGUGAAGAACAAUUAAGUACAAAGGGGAAGCUCAGUCAAAUGAUAACUAAGGUUUAGUCUUCAAGGUUUUCCACACCAACAGAACCCCAAACCUUUGUGAUGCCAUAUUGAAUUAAUUGGUGCUCCGUGGAAGCCCAAGGGUUUGCCUGCAGGAUCAGAGACUAAAUGAUGCAUUGUCCAGGUUUGUGACCAGGCUUUAGAUGCGAAAGAGUGCGCUGUGCAAAAUGUUGCUAGUGAAGUUUCCCUAAAUUACAUUUAGAAUUUAACAUCUUAACUAGAAUGAUGCAAAGAACAGACUCACCCACUAUCACGUACUUCCCUGCAACGGGGGAUGAUUUAAUUAUCCAUACAUUUUAAAAAUAUUUUGUUGCUGCCACUGUGGCAGAUGAAUUAGUAUGGCAAAUUGCUUCUGAUUCUACAUUCCUGUAGGCCCAGUAUAUUACCAGGUAGCCAUGGGCUGGAAAGAUUAUAACUUACAAAUAGAAAUAUAUUGAAAUCGUACCCAGGAGUCAGAGGAACUUGUCUCGUGGAAUGGCUUCUGUGUUGGCAGAAGUGACUGGGCAAUGAUCCCAGCAGCAUAUUAAUCUCCAAUCAUGAAACUAGUACAGGAAGGUCAUAUAGUUAUUAGGAAAAUAAAAAAAAGUUUUAUAAACUAAGGUUUGGUGGUCAGAAAUGGAUUACACUCUUAGCCCUUAUGUUCAGUGUUAUCUGUUCAGGAUGCUUCCUGAAAAUAAACGUUAGGGGGAAAUACUCCCCUGGGCAAAAGGUCUAUGCACUAAAGCCCAACUUAAGCUCUGAAGGAGACAGUAGCUGGGCAUGGAUUGUGCAUAGGAUUUCUGCACAGUGUGGGGAAUGCCGUCUGAAGUACUGUAGUGUGAUUUUCAAUCCCAAAUGUGCCAUUGUCUGGAUGAUGCUGAACAGUGUGCUGUCUAUCUCAUGUUGAAGUUCUGUUGGGCUCCACAAAUUAUGUCAUAACAGGAUUAUCUUGCUCCAUCUGCUAGACAUAUUUACAGUGUGUUUUCUUUUUCUAGAAGGCAGACAGGGGAGGAAGGGGUUGUAUUCCCUACUUUUAUGAAGGAAGUACAACAAGGGUGUCAAAAAUCGAAUCUACAGACUGGAUUCUGGCACUCCUGGCAGACCACCACAAGCUGGGAGGCAUGAACAGGGGUUGUGGCCUGUGUCAAAAUCCAGGUGGGGCAUGGAGACUGGCAGCAGGAGAGCAAAUGAGUGUGCUUCAACUGGUUCCAGUCACCACCCAGUCACUUCACCUGUUGCCACUGUCACAGCCCCAGCUUCUUGGCCACUGCUGUGUGCCCCAUGCUGGAGCCGGAGCAAGAGCCGGAGCUACCACUAUGGCAUGGGGGAUGUGGCAAUGGGAGCUCUGGCUCUGGAAUGGGGCACUUGGCACAUUGCAGGGGUUCUAGCCAUCACCACAUGGCCUGGGUCAGAGCUGGAGCUGUUGCUGGUAUCAACCCUGCUGCCACAUACUCCAGGUCAGAGUUGGAUCUGUCACUGCUGCUUCCUAAGGCCCUGGACUGGAUCCAGCCCUCAAAGAGCCCUGUGGUCUGCAUUUGGUCCAGGGCAUAAAGUGAAUUUGACACCCCUGGCUUAGAGCAUUGAACAGGAUGUAGGAUAGCUGGAUGAAUUUCCCUUAUCUACUUGAGGGUCUUUUACCACACAUUCCCCACUUCCCAUGAAUGUGUUCUACCCACAAGCUUAUGGACUAUCCUGGAAUGGGCCAGAUAGUGAGAACAAGAGUAUGAUUCUCUAGCCCAAUGGUGGUUCUCAACUAGGGUGCCAAAGCACCCCUAGGAGCCACAAGAGCCUUUCAGGGGUGGUGUGGCAGGGACAUCACUUGCAACAGUAAUGGUCUGACAAAAUUCUACUGUGGUGCCAGCAGUUGCCUUCUCAACACCAACCUGUUUAGCCUCUGACCUAUACCAGUCUGAGGGUGCAAUUAGGACAGAGAAAUUUACUCCGGUGCAGUUUGCACCAGAGUUUAUUUCUCCCAGGUGCAGUGUUUAAACGUGAGCCCUGGACCAUAGCAGGCAACACAGGGGGUCAGCCUGCUAGCCCAGCGCUGCUCCAAACUGGAUUAAUGUGCUGCAGAUGGGUUGGCUGUGGUACAAGGGUUGCUAUAGUGUGGGGAUAGCUGGCAGGCAGCCUCUGCAUUAUAGCACCCUUGUGCACUAGCCAGCCCUGGUUUCUGUUUAUACAUACGUUUUGGCACAUGUAACUACUCUGCUGUAGGAUAGUACUUGUCCUGGACAGUACUAUUCUACAGUGGACUUAAUUCAUUUACUGUGCCCUAACAUGGAUGCACAUGUAGACAGUGACACUUUACUGUGGAGCUCCUUAGUCAGCUCUGCAGUGAAAUGCAUGUGUAGAUGUACCUUGAGGUAGCCAGCUUUCAAACAGAAGUAUCCACUUCUGAAUUGGCAUGCUCUCCCCAGUUUGUAGACCCUGAAGCAAGAGAGGCAGAGAAAGCUCCUCAUGUAGUUCCAUGAAAGUCUGCUUUCUGCUGUGGAAAUUCUGGAGCAUGCUGGACAUCCCAAGUCUACACAGUGAUGGAAAUCAUUGCUCUAUACUAGUUGUCCUAUAACAGAAGUACUUCUUUGUGUAAUAGGGGCCAAGCCCUUUUACUGAGAGCAAGGCUAGGCAGUAGAGUUAGAAAGUUUCAGAAAAUAACCAGCUGGCAGGUAAUUAGGUAAUGUCCUGUUGAUGCAAUCAAUGGAAAACACCUGUACCCUGCUGAAAGGCUCCCAGGGCAGGUGACCAGAAGGGGUCAGAGUCAGGGGCCAUUUGAGCCAUGUGCAGAGUCUGACCUGAACAGAGCUGGAGGCAGGGGCUCCCUGCUGGGAGUAAAGGGAAGCAGCAGUGGGACCUAGAUCCUGUGCAAGAAGAAGAAACUCUUUGCUUAAAGCUGAAAAACAAGACCAGAGACUAAGGGAGAGGUGACUAGGCCCAGGAGGGCCAGAGCUGGUAAAAGUCAGUGGGACUGAGUGGGAGCUUGGGGAAGGCUGUCAGAAAGAUCCCUCACCUCCAAAUGUCUUGGGGUGGUGUAUUGCUCAUUGUGUUUUGAGCUGUGAGGCAUUGGAUGCCUGAAGAGGCAGAGCAGGCCACUGAAGGUGGCUAGGGAAGGCACUGAAGUCAACAAAGGACUAUUAGAGUGCCUAUACACUAGGGCUGUGUGAAAUUUUGCUGGCUGUUUCGUUUGGAUGCUGUUUCAAUUCAUUUUGAGCUCAAAACAGAGAAAUCAAAAAGAAACAAAGGACUUCAAAACAGCCUCAAAACGAAACAGCCAGCGGGAAGGAGAGGAGGCAGCACACGUGUGUCCCGCACGCACGUGUGCCCUUCUUACCAACCAACUGACCGGAGGCGGUGGCGGCAGCAGCAAAAACAGAAGAAUCAGCAGCGGGGGCAGCAGCAGCUGAUCCCCCGAAGGUAAGUGGGGCGGAGGGACCCGGUGCAGCUGAGCCGGAUCCGGAGGGGAAGCCCCCCGGGUCCCAUAUAGCUGAGCCGGUAGGGAGCCGCGCUCCCGAGCCGCGCAGCGCGAACAGAGCGCGCAAACAGGCGCGCUCUGUAAGAGCACGCCGGCGUUUGCGCGGGCGUUCGCGCCGGAGGGCGGGCCAGGAGGGCCAGGAGUGGGACUCCUGUAGGGGUAGGGCGUAGACACCGCGCAGGUCUAUAAACAGCAGCUUGUAGAAUGGUGUCUACGAGGAGUACUGCUAGGGCCUCUGCCCAGGGGGACGAGGCUACCCGGGGCAGGUCUGAGGCCUCCACCCAGACCGAGCCCAUGGGGGAGCCGGUGUCCCCCUACCUCCUGGCCUGUGGGGUAUCCCCAGCAGGGCCGGGGGGGGCAGAGAUUGGGGGCCCCCACGCCUGUCCGGCAGGUGCCCGUCUUAGGGCCCUGGAGGCGCAGGUGAGGGAGCUCCGGGAGGAGGUUAGCAGGCUGAGGGGGAUCAGGGAGGCGGAGGAUGAAAUUGACAGUUAUUUCCUUUCCCUGCAGGCCCAGGCACCAAAGGAAGAAGCACCCCGGGGAAUACCCUCCACAGCAGAGUGGCAGACGGUCACAGCCAGGACCGGAGUGGCACGCAGAGAACCGGUACCAGCUUCUCCAGUCCGACUGGUGAACAGAUCAAGAGAUCCACGAUGACUCAGAGGAAGAGGCGACCUGUGCUCGUCAUAGGAGACUCCAUCCUGAGAGGUACGGAAGGACCCAUCUGUCGCCAGGACCCCUCGGCACGAGAGUGACCGGACGAGGAAGACGGCAGGAGAACUGCAUCAGAGAGACCAACUGGCGGCUUCGGCAGUGGUGUCUCGAGGCAGGCUUCGGCUUCCUGGACCAUGACCCGCACAUCACGACAAGGGACAUGCUCAGCUGGGAUGGGCUUCACCUGUCCCCCAAAGGUAAGCGUGUGUUUUCUUCUAGGUUGGCGGAUCUCCUCCGGCGGGCUUUAAACUAGGCUCGUCGGGGGGAGGGGAGUACGAGGGCAGGGGAAGCUGUGGACCACCAAACCAUGUGGCACCCACAAGGACAGCCCAGCCUGAAGAAGGAGAACAUUGGGAACCUGAAAGCCAUGGGGAGGCCAGCACAACAGAACAGGUAAGGAACAAGAAGGUAAGAAACAAUGGGCCCCAUGGGACUGGGAGCAGGGGGGCAGCAAAGGCGCCAGUCGCAGGGCUCAAGUGCCUAUAUACUAAUGCUAGGAGCAUGGGGAACAAGCAGGAUGAACUAGCGCUCCUGCUUGCACUAAACACCUAUGACUUAGUAGGGCUAACAGAGACCUGGUGGGAUUCAUCCCAUGACUGGGCGGUACAUAUUGAGGGCUAUAGAUUGUACAGAAAGGACAG